rnacentral:snoRNA from 24 species
UUAAUUAGCAACACCCAGUAUCAUUGGCUGUUUUAAUUUCACCAACAUCAUAACGGUCUCUUUAAUCUGGCAGAUAAAAUAUUUUUAAUUAUUGGACGACUUAAGUUCCGCUGUUGAAUUUAGUUGUAAUGUUCAUUAGCUUUACUGUUGUCUAUACAUCC